UUUGGGUCCUCACCUCUCCCUCGCGCCCUCCCCUCUCUAUCGCGUCCUCACCUCUCCCUUCUCGCAUCUCGCACGUCUCCCAUCCCCUCUGCGCCGCCAGACCCUCUCUCUCGCCCAGAUCCCGCCCCAACCCCGCGCCGCCGCUCCCUGCAUCGACCAUCGCCGCCAUCGCUGCUCCCUUCGUCACCGGCCCCCACCUCGCCUCCGCUGUGGCCCGGAUCCACGGAUCCACCUCGUCUUCGACCGCGGCAGGGAUGGCGUCGGUCCCGAGAUGGCAUCACACAAGGAAGAUCCGCCCACCCGGGCUUCCCAGUAAAAUCCACCCCGAUUUUCAACCCUCCCCUCCCCCAUCCUCUCUCUUUCGGUUCCAGCAGUCGAAUCGAACCCCCCCCCCCCCCCCCGUCCCCGAAUCUCCCUCCCUCAACCGGUUCAGAUGGUAGUGGACGGAUUGGUUGUCGGUGUUGAUUAACCUAACCCCUCGCCGUCCGCCCAUGCAUGCUCCGAUUAGGGUGCCAUCGCCGCCGGUGUGGUGCUUACAUGUGUGCAGGUCCUCGAACUGAUGUUUCCCCCUUGUUGUUUGUUCUUGCUUCCUGCAGGUAACCGAGUUCAGCUCAAGUGACGAGUAGCGGCAUAGUUCGCCCGCGCAGCUUCCGUUCUGCUGGUCUACACAGAUCAUAUCCUUUUUUUUUUCUCUAUGUGGGCUGUAUGUCUGGGCUUAAUGGUCAAACCUGCUUUCGGAUGUGAGAGUUUGGCUAAUUUUAAUAUACUGGAAUAGGGCACUGUUCCUCUGCACUAUCCCUUUGGAUUGCACUAACCCUCUGGAGGUUGAGGGAAGUACCACAGGUGCCAUGUCUCAUUGUGGUCUGACCGGCUUCAUCUUCUUCUAUGUUCUUUUCAAAAAUAUAGUACAGAGACAGCUCCUUGUGUUUUUGUGAGGGGGGCGGGAGUGAAGAGAGAGAGAAGACUCCAGUGAACAGCUAGCUGUGCUACAGUAGCAUUGUUUGGUGGAGCCGAAGCCUAUUGGAGCCAUGCCAAAGGCACCCGUAGCAUGUCUAAUAGUACAUAUAUCCUUUUCAAAAAUAUAGUACAGAGACAGCUUGUACCGUCCAUUGCUAUAUAUUGCUAUAUAUGUACAUUUUCUCUCUAGAAUCCUGUCAUUAUAUGUACACAUCAUGUGAUGAGUAAUAUUAUUGUUUCCUCCCACAAUCAAUACAACUUCCAAUGAUUAUUCAAA